CCGUGCUAUACGGUCGUGUUGAUGUCCCUUGCGGUAGACCUCACCGCGGAGUCCCUAAUUCCAGUGACUGUGGGCGGGUCCCGUGGGUGGCCGGGACGCCUGUUUAGGACAGUCGAGCGGGGCCAGCCCUAAAUCACCAUGACCGGGAGGUGCGCGCUUCUGUUGCUUCUGGCGCUGCUGGGUCUGCAAGCGGAGGCUCGGGGCGGCCGCGGCCACGGGGAGUGGGACACCGGGGACGUCAAGUUGCCGCCGCUGCCGCCCCGCGAGGAUGCGGCGCGCGUGGCCCGCUUCGUAACACACGUGAGCGGCUGGGGCGCGCUGGCCACCAUCUCCGCCAACCCAGCAGUGCGCGGCCGGCCCUUCGUUGACGUACUGUCCCUCAGUGACGGGCCCCCGGGCUCUGGCAGCGGCGUGCCCUACUUCUACCUGAGCCCGCUGAUGCAGACCGUGCAGGACCUGCAGGAGAACUUGUAUUCUACACUGACUUUGUCCCUGGCACAGACUUCCUACUGCGUGAAUCAUGGAUUUGAUCCCCAAAGUCCCCUCUGUGCUCACACAAUGCUGUCAGGAACUGUUACCAAGGUGAAUGAAACAGAACUGGACUUUGCAAAAACCUCAUUAUUCACUCGACACCCUGCGAUGAAAACCUGGCCUUCCAGUCACAACUGGUUCUUUGCCAAGUUGAAUAUAACCAAUAUCUGGGUUGUGGACUACUUUGGUGGAGCAAAAGUAGUGACACCUGAAGAAUAUUAUAAUGUCACAUUUCACAGAGACAGUGGUCAUGAUCAAAGUCACUUGCUCUCCUUAUCUGAUGGUGGGAUUCUUACUACUGAGGACAAGCAUAUGCACCCAGGCCACCUCCUCAGCUGCACUUGGUGAAAAAGAAUUUGAUGUAUUUGACCACACAAAGGAAGCUGUUUCAGGUGAUUGAGGCCGACUUGAAGGGAUGAAUAUUUCUAUGGAAAACUUCCCAGAUUAAUUUUCUUGCAACUGCUGGGUUUUUUUUUUUUUUGCUUAUUUUACCAAUUUUUUUGCAAUUUGCUAAAUUUCCUGGAAGUUGGGAUUGCUUUAUUGUUUUUACUCAUUUUGAGGCUACUUUUGUUAAAGGAGACCUUGUUUUUCAUUAUGAUCAAAGGAAUUUUGUUCCAUUAAUUUGAAAUAUUUUUCUCAUGGUGCUUCUCAAAGAGGAGCAAGUACCAGACUUAGGGUGCUGUUGAAGUAAUCAGUAAGUGUUCUUUUUCCUGAAACCUGGAGGAGCCUCAGCUAUGCAAAGGAUUCUGCUCUUGUUACAUUGUUUAAGUUAGUCCUGAAAAACCUUGUCAAAACAAGCGCUGGUGAAGCACAAAUGGGUUUCUACUCACUACUCAUUGGUAUCCUCCUGGGUAUUCAUCAAACACAGGACAUGACUGUUUCCUUAUAAAAAAAUCUUUAUUGCUUUUCAAAUAUAAAGUAAUAAUUACCAAAAGCAAAGGAAGCUCCUGAAACAUUUCCUGAAUUUGAUUUCUUCACUUAGGUGGAGGCAGUGUAGUCAGUUUCUUCCACUCAAAAUUAUACACAUUCACAUGGGUUUUUGGUCCCUUGAUGGGACUGUGAAAGGAAAAAGAAAGAAUUUUGUAAGUUGUGUAUUUUUUUUUUUUUUGGACAAGGAGUUUAACCGUACAGUGUGACCAACUUCAGCAAAAGCCAAAAACCACUUUCCUCAACCAUUUUCUAAAGCUUUUAAUAGAAUGUUAUUUCCAACAGUGACCCCAGCAUGUUCUCAACUUCUAAUUGCUGCCAAUACUGCUACUACCUAAAUCAGAUGAUCAGAAUUAUAAUUUUAAAUAAUUUUUCUAAAGAAAAUAGCUUUAUAACGCAAUUAUAUGAUUUCAGAAGAUGAUGUAACAUUCAUAUGUGUGAGGAAUCAAUCACGUUCUAAAGUGGCUAAGAGAAAGGAAGUUGAAUAACUAGACUUGAAAACCACACAGUGAACUCAUCAGGAAUUCAGCCAACAGCGUUGAUUCAAGAAAAAUAAUUUAAAAAAUCACUACCAGAGAAAUGAUUUACAGGGAUCCAGAAGAUAGCUUAACCAGUAGGAUGUAUGCCUUGCCAUGUGUGUGGCCCAGGUUCAAACCCUGGCAUCACGUGGGACAUCCUAACACCUGGGGAAGCUCCCGUGCUAUGGGGUUUCUUUCUGUAUCAAAAUAAAUGAAAAAGAAAAGAUACACAUUAACCUUGAUAAAAUAUGUUUCUGAAAGCAUCAGUAAUUAAAAGAUUAUUUUAAGGAAA